AGUCGAGCGGUAGCACAGAGAGCUUGCUCUCGGGUGACGAGCGGCGGACGGGUGAGUAAUGUCUGGGAAACUGCCUGAUGGAGGGGGAUAACUACUGGAAACGGUAGCUAAUACCGCAUAAUGUCGCAAGACCAAAGUGGGGGACCUUCGGGCCUCAUGCCAUCAGAUGUGCCCAGAUGGGAUUAGCUAGUAGGUGGGGUAA
rnacentral:rRNA from 1 species